rnacentral:rRNA from 1 species
ACAGCAGUCGCCGCGGUAAUACGAAGGGUGCAAGCGUUACUCGGAAUUACUGGGCGUAAAGCGUGCGUAGGUGGUGGUUUAAGUCCGUUGUGAAAGCCCUGGGCUCAACCUGGGAAUUGCAGUGGAUACUGGGUCACUAGAGUGUGGUAGAGGAUAGUGGAAUUUCCGGUGUAGCAGUGAAAUGCGUAGAGAUCGGAAGGAACAUCUGUGGCGAAGGCGACUAUCUGGGCCAACACUGACACUGAGGCACGAAAGCGUGGGGAGCAAACAGGAUUAGAUACCCCAGUAGUCCCUGUCUCUUAUAA